rnacentral:rRNA from 1 species
GUGAACGCUGGCGGUAGGCCUAACACAUGCAAGUCGAACGGCAGCACAGUAAGAGCUUGCUCUUACGGGUAGCGAGUGGCGGACGGGUGAGGAAUACAUCGGAAUCUACUUUUUCGUGGGGGAUAACGUAGGGAAACUUACGCUAAUACCGCAUACGACCUACGGGUGAAAGCAGGGGAUCUUCGGACCUUGCGCGAUUGAAUGAGCCGAUGUCGGAUUAGCUAGUUGGCGGGGUAAAGGCCCACCAAGGCGACGAUCCGUAGCUGGUCUGAGAGGAUGAUCAGCCACACUGGAACUGAGACACGGUCCAGACUCCUACGGGAGGCAGCAGUGGGGAAUAUUGGACAAUGGGCGCAAGCCUGAUCCAGCCAUACCGCGUGGGUGAAGAAGGCCUUCGGGUUGUAAAGCCCUUUUGUUGGGAAAGAAAAGCAGCAGGUUAAUACCCCGCUGUUCUGACGGUACCCAAAGAAUAAGCACCGGCUAACUUCGUG